rnacentral:rRNA from 1 species
UGGGGAAUUUUGGACAAUGGGCGAAAGCCUGAUCCAGCAAUGCCGCGUGUGUGAAGAAGGCCUUCGGGUUGUAAAGCACUUUUGUCCGGAAAGAAAUCCUUGGCUCUAAUACAGUCGGGGGAUGACGGUACCGGAAGAAUAAGCACCGGCUAACUACGUGCCAGCAGCCGCGGUAAUACGUAGGGUGCAAGCGUUAAUCGGAAUUACUGGGCGUAAAGCGUGCGCAGGCGGUUUGCUAAGACCGAUGUGAAAUCCCCGGGCUCAACCUGGGAACUGCAUUGGUGACUGGCAGGCUAGAGUAUGGCAGAGGGGGGUAGAAUUCCACGUGUAGCAGUGAAAUGCGUAGAGAUGUGGAGGAAUACCGAUGGCGAAGGCAGCCCCCUGGGCUAAUACUGACGCUCAUGCACGAAAGCGUGGGGGGCAAACAGGAUUAGAUACCCCUGGUAGUCCACGCCCUAAAACGAUGUCAACUAGUUGUUGGGGAUUCUUCCUAGUAACGUAGCUAACGCGUGAAGUUGACCGCCUGGGGAGUACGGUCGCAAGAUUAAAACUCAAAUGAAUUGACGGGGUCAUAGCUGUUUCCU